UAUGAUGUCAUUUUCUAUUUUUAUUUGCCAAUAACUUUAUGUAAAUAACUUCAUUGGAAAUUUGCCAAUAUAAAAUGUUGCUGAUGAAGUUUUUUUUUAUUGUUUUAUACAAUAAACAAUGUAUAUUCACUUUUACUACCAACCAAUCUUUACCAUUCAGUGAUAACAAGCACUUUAUUUUACAUUUUAAUAUUUUAUGAUGUAUUUAAAAGAGUAGUUAUUGUUGCAAACUCCAUUAGAAAUUUGAAUUGAUAUCAGUUUUGGAGAAAGGGAAACGGGGAUGUGAAAAAAAGGGGGGGGGGUUAAAUUUUUCUCAUUUCAGAUUUCAUAAAUAAAAAGAAAAUUUCUUCAAACAUUUUUUUGAGAGGAUUAAUAUUCAACAGCAUAGUGAAUUGCUCAAAGGCAAAAAAAAACUUUUAAGUUCAUUAGACCACAUUCAUUCUGUGUCAGAAACCUAUGCUGUGUCAACUAUUUAAUUUUAGAUUUAAAAAGUUUGAAGAAGAAAUCUUUAAUUGAUUUGUAAAAUCUUGACAUUUGUUUUGUGUAAAAAAAACCAUGUAAUGUCAGAAAUUUGAUCACAAUCCAAAUUCAGAGCUGUAUCACGCUUGAAUGUUUGUCCAUACUUGCCCCAACUGUUCAGGGUUCGACCUCUGCGGUCGUAUAAAGCUGCGCCCUGCGGAGCACCUGGUUUACAGUC
rnacentral:lncRNA from 1 species